rnacentral:lncRNA from 1 species
AGAAAGAAAGAACUGGGAUAGUUAUUGAACCCUCUUCUCCUUUUGGUGUCACUGAGAAGGCCUGCCUCCAAUGGCCUUUGAGUGGGCAUGUGAGCCCCAGUGUGUCAGAGAUGCAAGCCUCAGAUGCACACCUGGAUGUAAAUACCCAAAUGAGUAGUUGUCAGGGGACAAUGUUGGAUCACCAGUUAAUCUGUGGUGAUGGUGGAGCCAGGCUGAGCCUUUCCUCUGCUAAGGAUAGCUGUGUAGCCAACACUGACCCUGGAAAACAGUGGAUGCUCUUCCCAGAACUGAAUUUGGAUACUUGCAUUGAACUGCAGAAAUUUCCCAAGCUUGAGGGUGAUGCCCUUGGAGGCUUGGCUGUCAAAACACCUGGAUGUGAGCUGAAUGUCCUCACUGAUACCAUGAGUGUCCUGAAACAGAAGAUCAUGAAAAGAAAACAACUCUUCUGCAAGUGGAGAAUGGCAUGCAGAUUCCCAGGACUUCAAGCUUCGGAAAACCAUGAAAAUGAUGAUGAAAAAGAUCAAAAUUCACUGAAUUCCAGGUAAAAACAAAUAAUCUGGAGAUUGUAAGAAAGGGCAAAAUAAGAGGUUAAGGAUAACCUGAAAGAAUAGACCAUGAGGUCAAAAGUAGACACAUUUGAUGACCAAAUGUAAAAAGAUUACUGUUGGCAGGGGUGAUGUUGACUAAGCCCAGUGUGAUGGAGCCCUUUAGCAAGGUUAUCUUUUAUCUUCCUGGUGCUGGUACAGUGAGUGUGACUGAGAAGAACUGCACAGUCUUGGGCAUUUCUUCCUUUUAACAAAAUCACUUGUUUAUUUUUAAGUUGAAUAAUCAGAACUAGAAGCAUACUAUCUUUCUAUACUAUGGCCUGAUAUUCGCGGACAGGUAUGUCAUAGCAAGAAAAACAGAAAUACGCUCCCUUUCUACCCCUUCCCCCCACAAAAAAAAGUAUUGUCAAAAAAAUGGAUAGAAAAAGUUCUAG